rnacentral:lncRNA from 1 species
GUAAAACAGUUAUUAUUAUUUGGCGGUAAAAAUCUUGCUGAUACAAUUAAAAAUAUUUUGCUCUUACUGCCAACAGACACUAUUUUGUCAGAAUACAGCUUGAAUUGUCUACAGAAGAAAAAACAGUUUAAAGAGUUUACAAGUCUAUGUAACGCUGUCACUGAAGCUGCUUUAAGGUCAAAUAAAAAAUUAAUCAAAAUGGAUGCCCUCUAACUUAUUGGGAGAGUAAUUAGGCA